UACCUGUAGAAGAAGCCCCGGCUAACUUCGUGCCAGCACCCGCGGUAAUACGAAGGGGGCUAGCGUUGCUCGGAAUUACUGGGCGUAAAGGGCGCGUAGGCGGCUUAGUCAGUCAGGCGUGAAAUUCCUGGGCUUAACCUGGGGUCUGCGUUUGAGACGGCUAGGCUAGAGGGUAGGAGAGGGUCGUGGAAUUCCCAGUGUAGAGGUGAAAUUCGUAGAUAUUGGGAAGAACACCGGUGGCGAAGGCGGCGACCUGGCCUAUUACUGACGCUGAGGCGCGACAGCGUGGGGAGCAAACAGGAUUAGAUACCCUGGUAGUCCACGCCGUAAACGAUGUGCGCUGGAUGUUGGGGCCCAUAGGGUCUCAGUGUCGUAGCUAACGCGGUAAGCGCACCGCCUGGGGAGUACGGCCGCAAGGUUGAAACUC
rnacentral:rRNA from 1 species